GAUGAAGAACGUAGUGAAAUGCGAUACUUGGUGUGAAUUGCAGAAUCCCGUGAACCAUCGAGUUUUUGAACGCAAGUUGCGCCCGAAGCCAUCAGGUUGAGGGCACGUCUGCCUGGGCGUCACAUAUCGUUGCCCAAUGCCUAUUGCAGUGCAAUAGGAAUUUCUAGGGCGAAUGAUGGCUUCCCGUGAGCGUUGUUGCCUCGCGGUUGGUUGAAAAUCGAGUCCUUGGUAGGGUGUGCCAUGGUAGAUGGUGGUCGAGUUAGAACGAUACCGAUCAUGUGCAUGCUCCCCAAAAUAUGGCCUCUAUGACCCACACGCGUCUUUUGACGCUCAUGACGAGACCUCAGGUCAGGCGGGGCUACCCGCUGAAUUUAAGCAUAUCAAUAAGCGGAGGA
rnacentral:misc_RNA from 1 species